CUGCCUACGGACGCGAGGAGGCGUCAGUGUGAGGCGAGAAGCGGAGCUGGCAGCGUGAGGUGGCGGCGCGACUCAUCUUCGACGGCGACCCCCUCCCAUCCUUCAUAUGCAGUCUCUCCUCGCCGGUAAGCCAUCUCCUUCUCCUCUUCUCUUCUUCUCACCCUAGGUUUUCGAACUUGGUAGGGGCGCGAUGUAGCUGGAUGCGCGUGCCGUGCCAGCGCGUGCUGUCGCCAGGGCUGGUCUUGAAUCGUUGUGUUGGUGGACGCUCCUCCUCCCCUCAGGGCGUCCAAGAGCAUGGCGCUAUGUUGCUGCAAGGCCGCCGACGGCGGAAGCCGCCGCUAUCUCUAUUUGUGUCGUUCUUGGAUUAUGUUUCAGAAUUUUUCAGAUGAAUUGGUGAAAGGACAAGGACUGAACAAUAUUUAGAAUAUGCUAGUUUUAGAAAUUGGAUGUCUCUUAAUUAGAUCCUGACCUGUUCGUUUUGAGUGGAUUGGUAGGAUUAAAUCCUGACUAGAUUGAGUGACACAGAUGGAAUCACUCAAACCGGGCCUGGAAGUAAUCUUGGCUGGAAUCCAAUCCGGCUGAGACGAACGAGGCCAUAAAAAGUUUCCUGAUAUCUAAGAAGCAGAGUCUGCACAUCGAUUGUUAAGAUAGAUGAUUUGGAUCGCUACUACUUUUCAUUGCGUCAGUCCAGCAUAAAUCUCGGGCAAGGUGGCGUUGGCUGAUUGGUGUUGCCGGGCUUUCUGGCGUGUGGAUCCAAUGUUGUGACACCACUUCUUCCAUGCCUCCUUUCACACGAGUACGUCUGGAUCUGAUGCGAGCUUUAGAUGGUGCUUUAGCUGCGUGCCAUUGGGGGCGAGCACGUAUCCUAUCCAGAGCUCUCAACGGCUUGCAGAGGGAAGAAAAAGAGAUGCAAACGGUGGCACCUGGGAAAUGAUAUGUUCCAAAAUUCCCAGUUGGGCUCAUGGGAAUAGGGAAGAUGAGAGAUGCAGAUAUUUUGGCAGCUUCCAAUUUGAUUUUUCUGAGAAAUUAGGAAGGUUAAAUUAGGGAAUGAAUGGGGUCCGUAAUGGCCUUGGUAGAAACUGAAAUAUCAAGACAAAAUCCUAUUUUUAGUGUAAGAAAUUGAGGAUGUUACAGUUUU